rnacentral:lncRNA from 1 species
AUAGGUGAUUGUACGUGGUCAAAGUUUAAUAAAGCAUUCUAGGUUGGAGGAAUUCUACGCUAUCACACUUGCAUCACGUCAUCAAUAACAAACUGAUCAUAUUUCUUCUUUUCAAACAAAAAUAUAAUAAAAUUAUUUUUUAUAAUCAUGAUGGGAUAUAUAUCUCUAAAAAAAAAUUUUGAUUGGUUUGUUACGCCAGGUCAACAAUAUAUCCGUUGCAUUCUAAAAUUUUUCUCUGGGUUGAGACUGGUGACUUAAAAAGAUCAGUAUUCUGCUCUGUGAUGAGAGGUAAGGUUGAAUCUAGUUAUAUUUGAAAUAGCACGAGAUCAAAUUGGGACGAAUCAAAGUAGUGUGAGGCAAAUUGGCCCGAAUCAUAAUCGAAAUUUCAUGGGUUCUGUGUUUGUACGUUUUAAAUUAAUUGAUUGCACAUUUCUAAAGGCUCGAAUUUUUAAGAUUGAUAGUUAACGUUAACGAUCCAAUAGAGACUACAAGUUUUAGCCUAAUUAUUCUAAAGAAAAAUUAUAACAAGCUUUCGAAGAAAUCGGCUAGUUAAUUAGCUGCUAGUAUGAUUUCGUAAUAAUAGAUCGAAAGUUCAAAUUUUACGAAUUUGGGUCUACAACAUACCUGAUUGACUUAUCUAUGUACUUAUUGAGCAAACCCAAAACAGUAUUAAGGGUGCAUUUGGUUCGCGCUAUCUUUUAAAGAUUCCUAAUAAUCUAAUGUGAAUAAAAAAAUAUGACGGUAUUUGGCUAAACGCACUAAGUAAUCUAGUUGGUAAUAUUAGAUUCACUUGGGAAUAAGAUUCACCCCAAAAUACUAAUCUCAUUCCCUUGAAAGGGAAGGUGGGUAUCCUCAUAUUAAUGGAUUGGGGUAAUCAUAAUACGUCUAAUCUCUUUCUUUCUUCCUACCCGCCGGCUAAUUGAUAUUAUUUUUCUUUACACUCUAACCUUAUAUCUCUCUCUAAACUUAUUUUUCUAUCUAAAAUUCAACUUUUUUUCUCUCUCUAAACUAAGCUUCUCUCUCUCUCUCAUUCUAAAAUUUCAACUCUCUCACUCCCUCUAAUUUCAACUAUAUUUUUCUUUCUAUUUUUUUAAUUAUGCUCUCUCUCUCUAACUUAUACUCUCUCUCCCUUUUUUCUAAAAAGAUGUUGAAACUUUUGGUACCAUUAUCUAAAAUUAAUUAAUUAAAUAAAUAAAUUAAUUGUAUAUUUUUUAUAAUAUUAAAUAACAUGGCUAAUUAAUAUUACCGUGCGAACCAAACACAGAAAUUUCACAUUCUUAGUAAUAGAAUGAAUAGGAAUAAGAUUCUCGGAUAUCUUUUAUUCCUAAUAAUCUUUCAUAAUGCGAACCAAACGCACCCUAAAGGUAAAGUGAUAGAUAGAAAAGCCAUUUACCUCAU